rnacentral:ncRNA from 1 species
CCGGUCCUCGGUAGUGGCUUCCGGAGCACAUAUGUUCCGUGGGCCUCGAUCGAUGACCGU